GCAGCUUUGCAAUCCUUGGGGAUCUCAGACGAUAUGAAAGAGAGGUUGAACAGGCUGGUAAUAGGGGUUGCGAAUGGCGGCGGAUAGUUUCAGAAAUAGAGGGUCCAGAUUGUCAAGACCAGCUGAUUUGUACAGGUCCAGGUUUUGCAGCUCUUUCAGAACUUCUGCUAUCUGGAUUUGGGUAAAGGAGAAGCUGGGGAGGCUUGGGCGAGUAGCUGCGGGAGGGGGGGUGGAGCUGUUGGUGAGGUAGGAGGAGCCAGGAGGAAGGCAUGACCAGCCAUUGAGAAAUGCUUGUUGAAGUUAUCGAUUAUCAUGGAUUUAUCAGUGGUGACCGUGUUACCUAGCCUCAGUGCAGUGGGCAGCUGGGAGGAGGUGCUCUUGUUCUCCAUGGACUUUACAGUGUCUCAGAACUUUUUUGAGUUAGAGCUACAGGAUGCAAAUUUCUGCUUGAAAAAGCUGGCCUUUGCUUUCCUGACUGGCUGGCUGCGUGUAUUGGUUCCUGUUUUCCCUGAACAGUUGCAUAUCGCAGGGACUAUUCGACGCUAUUGCAGUCCGCCAUGGAGUAAAUGGAGUAAACAGUGCAAUGAAAUACUAACUUGCAGGUUAUCCUCUUGACAGCGCAACAACGAUAGAAAAACUAAGUAGACGUCCUGAUUCUUGAGAACAGCCAUCCCGCCGCUCCACCAACUGCUGUUUUAACACGACCCACAGCUGCUGUAGCCUCUCCUGAAAGCCCUGCAGCACCUAGAUGAAGACCACACACAUCGCGGUUCCACAUUCGAGAUACAAAUAUCCUUACAUUACCAAUUAAAAUUAUAAAUGACUCCUCACACACCUUCUGCAGCUGCUGUAGUCGUUCCUGAAAGCUCUCUCUCCUCGACUCCUCCCUCCCCUUCAGACGCUCCAAACUCUACUGCUCUAACACCUCCCACAGCCUUUGUAGCCUCUCCUGAGGCACCUAGAGGAAGACCUAGAGGAAGACCACACACAUUGCUGUUCCACAUACGAGAUACAAACAUCCUCACUGCUCUUAUCCCAAUUACCUUCUGGCCACGCCCCCUCCCUGCAACUCACCACACCUGAUCAAGCCUUUACCUUACCUACUAAAAGUGUCCAAGUCCUUGAAGCCAGCCAUCCUGCUGUUCCCCCAACUGCUGCUCCAACACCUCCUGCGGCUGCUGUAGCCGUUGCAGAGAGCCCUGCAGCACCUAGAGAAGACCACACACGUCACUAUCCCAUAUAUGAGAAACAAACUUGCUUACAUUACACUGCCACUCACACACCUGCCGUAGCUGCUGUAGUAGCUGCUGCCGCUCCUGACAACCCUGCUCCUGCGGCCACCCAUCCCAAGGCUCCACUAAUCGCAGCUCCAGCACCUCCCACCGCCGCUGUAGCCACUCCUGAAAGCCCUGCAGCACCUAGGUUGACCACAUACACAUCUGUCACUGUCCCACAUAAAAAGAAAUCCAAACAGCAAUGAUAAACGACAUCAAGUCAUGUGAUUUAGUAAUUUAUGACAUCACAAACACCAACAUUGGCUAUCUUUAUUUCAUCGAAAGAUUGUAGGAUUCUUCGUAUUUACCUGCCGUCUGUAGAGCAGCAACAAGACCCCCUGCUGCUACCCCACCUCCAUUUACCACGGCCGCUGCAGACAUCAUGCUUGCUGCAUAUGAUCCAGCAGCAAUCCCACCAGCAGUGAAUCCUAUCGCUCCUAGGACAACUGGUGCCAUUGCCACUGCCGCAACUAUGAAGGCCCAGCAGAAACACUUGAGCAAGCAACCAGAAACAUACCUGGCCUCAUGUUAUAGGAGGUUGACAAUAGUACCACUGUCAUGUGAAUGUUUGGCCUAAACAACAAAACAAAGUAGCAAUACUGUACAUCUAUACAAAUUAUUUGAAGCUGGUAAUUGAUCAUUUGAAUUCAUGCUGACUAAAUAAAUAAUCUUACCUGCUCCCACUGUUGCUGUUGCUGCUGCAGCAAUUGUACCUGUUCCUGAAUGGUAAAGAAAAUAUUGCUUAUUUUACGAUAACUUCCUUUUAUGGCAACUCAACUUGUAAUUCACCCAAUCCAUCAGAGAAACCUUGGUUGUUGAUUGUAAAUUAGGUACUCACCAUUUUGGAUUCAAAAGGUUAAAGGGCUUUAUGCUGUAAUUGUCUGUUUGUCAGGGGGCUUUGAUCAGUCUGUUACAGUUUAUCUGAAGUAUUUAUCCUGUCUUAUCCCGGUGUCCUGUGUAAUUUUAAGUAUGCUCCCUCUAACUCUUUUUCUUAUCUCUGAGGACCUGAGCCCUAGGACCAUGCCUCAGGACUACCUGCCCUGAUGAUUCCUUGCUGUCCCCAGUCUACCUGCUGCUUCUCUUUUCAAUUGUUCUGCCUGCGGCAAUGGAACCCUGACCUGCUCACUGGAAGGGCUACCUUGUCCCAGACCUGCUGUUUUUAACUCUCUCUCUCUACUUCUGAAUGAUCAGCUAUGAAAAGCCAACUGACAUUUACUCCUGAGGUGCCGACCUGUUGCACCCUCCACAACCACUGUGAUUAUUAUUAUUUGCCCCUGCUGAUCAUCUAUGAACAUUUGAACAUCUUGGCCAUGUUCUGUUAUAAUCUCCACCCGGCACAGCCAGAAGAGGACUGGCCACCCCUCAGAGCCUGGUUCCUCUAGGUUUCUUCCUAGGUUCCUGCCUUUCUAGGGAGUUUUUCCUAGCCACCGUGCUUCUAAAUUGGCAUUGCUUGCAGUUUGGGGUUUUAGGCUGGGUUUCUGUAUUGCACUAUGUGACAUCGGCUGAUGUAAAAAGGGCUUUAUAAAUCAAUUUGAUUGAAAAAUAAAUGUGAUUUUAAAAAAGAAAAGUGUUCUAGCCCGUCAGCCCACCCUUCAUAUAGUCCCAAAAUAUAAUUAUAUACACUGCAUAUGAAAGCCUCAUAGCUGUCCUAAUAGAAAUACUAUAUUUACUUCCUGGGAAAAAUCUAUGAUUAUGCUUUUUGAUGCAUCAUCAUAGAUAUGUUGAAGGACUUCUGGUCAUGUGGAAUACCACUUAAACCUAUGAAUGUCAUGGAGGUGGCUUUGUGACUUUAGUGGGCUUUAGCUCAGUGAGCUAAAGAACAUGGGUUACCCAAAAUGGAUACACACAGGAUACACAUCAAUUACAUUAUAAGAGCAAAGAAGAAAACGACUGAGUCAAUCAUCAAUGAUAAAUUCUACUCAAUAAGUCAUAUGAUCUAAACAGUAUAAUCACAAACACUACCAUUGGCUUCCUUUAUUCCAUCAUGCCAUUAAAGUUUUCUUUGAUUUUACCUAUUGCGGCGCCCCCUGCAGUUGCUCCAGCAGCAACCCCAACAGUAGUCAAACCUGCCACUCCCAGGGCUACUGGUGCCCCCACCACUGCUGCAGCUGUGAAGGCCCAGCAGACAAGAGCAUGCAAUGAGCAAACAACCAAAAACAUACAUGGCUCCCUGUUAUACGAGGUUUGACAAUGGUAUCACUAUAAUGUGAAUGACUUAGGCCUAAAUGACAAAAGAAAGUAGGAACACAACUGUGAAAUUAUUUGAAGGUAACACCUAGAAAGGGCUUAACCAAUAAUGUUCAGAGCAUAGACUAGAGAUUCCUUAUCUUAUACUGACAAUCAUUGUGCCAUUUAUAUUGUGUUUCUUAUUCUGGCAAUUAUUGUUCCAUUUACAUUGUUUGAACUUAUCAAAAGUAUGUUUAAAAUGUUUUUUUUUGCAAAAAUCAACAAAUAUAAUACAGAUCAAUCAUAUAUAGGUGGAGUUAUUGGAUCAAAUAGAAAUACUAAAAUAGAAAGACUAAAUAGAUUAUCUUACCUGCACCCAUUGUUGCUGCUGCUCCUGUAAUGAUCAUCCUUUUUCCUAAUUAGAAAAUAAAAUAUUGGUCUUUUAUGAUAUCCGGCUUGUUGAUAAAGAUACUGUAAUGUGUUAGCCAGUAAGUCAACUUGUUAUUCACAACAGUAACCUGUAAUUUGUUGAUAGUGUCACUAGUUUCUUUAUUUCUAUGUUUUCUGUUUCUAUGAUUUGGCCGGGUAUGGUUCUCAAUCAGGGACAGCUGUCUAUCGUUGUCUCUGAUUGGAAAUCAUACUUAGGCAGCCUGUUUCUCCACCUUAGUUGUGGGUAGUUGACUUUGUUAGUGGCCCAUAUAGCCCUAGUAAGCGUCACAGUCGUUUUUGGUGUUUCUUGUUUUGUUGGUGACAUUCUCAAUAAAGGAAAAUGUACGCUCA